CCGGAUCAGCUGUGAUGACACUGCCGUCAGUCUGUCCACAGUCCUCAGAGAAACCAAGUGGAAGUAGCAACUGAAGAACAAUCUCUAUGAGAGUGACCUGUGGCUAUGACUGUCAGACGUUAAAAUUUACUGACUGGUAAUGGAGGACUCAACCAUCUGUGGGAUGUGCCACUCCCAGAGCUGAAGAGAUGGCUCAGCAGUUAAGAGCACUGACUUCUAGAACUUCCAGAGGUCCUGAGUUCAAUUCCCAGGAACCCCAUGGUGGCUCAAAACCAUCUGUAAUGGGAUCUGAUGCCCUCUUCUGGUGUCUGAAGACAACUCCAGUG
rnacentral:lncRNA from 1 species